GACGUCACGUACCCAAUAUACACCUAUAACGCACUGCCCCUGUUCCCCUUCCCACUCACCGGCUCCACGGCCACGCCCCACCUUCCACGGCCACGGCGGCGAGGACGAACGGGAGUGCGGCGGCGAGGCUCCGGUUUGAGAUUGAGGAGAAGCAAGAAUAAUAUUGUGAUGCAGCUUGUGUUAAAAUGUAGAAGUGAGCAUACCUGUUGUAGUUGGAGUAGCAGUCACUGGUUGAGUGGAGAUAUGUUUUCGCAGCGUGCUGGCGCGAACUGCAGGAUCAGUUAGAAGAUUCUAACUAGAUAUUGUGUCAGGGAAUUAUAUAGUAGCUAUUCACUAAGAAGUACAUUUGCAGUACACAAUGAGAAGAAGCAACGCAGUACAUAAUGAGAAGAAGCAACGAAUAUGAACUGCAGCAUCAGUUAGAUGACAGAGGGAUGGCCCAAACACUACCAAGCACUUUAACUAGUUGUUGCUGAUGCAUCGAGCUAUCUCAUCAUCGAGCCAUGCACUUUGCCUGUUUUAGUGUUUUGUAUGCGUACUGAUUAUGCUGCUCAAAGCUUACCUCCUGUUUCGCUUCAGAAUCCAUGUUUAGAACUGACAGGCCCUGCGCGUGCUGUCAUGAUGUAUGGUCGUGUGAUAUUUGAGGCUUCAUUGUAUGUGAAAGGUGCUACUAGAUCUGAUGACAAAGAAUUGAGCCUUCUAGCUAUUACUUCA